rnacentral:rRNA from 1 species
UACGUAGGGCGCAAGCGUUGUCCGGAAUUAUUGGGCGUAAAGAGCUCGUAGGCGGCCUGUUACGUCUGCUGUGAAAUCCCGGGGCUUAACCCCGGGCGUGCAGUGGAUACGGGCAGGCUGGAGGCAGGCAGGGGAGAACGGAAUUCCCGGUGUAGCGGUGAAAUGCGCAGAUAUCAGGAGGAACACCGGUGGCGAAGGCGGGUCUCUGGGCAGUAACUGACGCUGAGGAGCGAAAGCGUGGGGAGCGAACAGG